UUGUACACACCGCCCGUCACGUCAUGAAAGUCGGUAACACCCGAAGCCAGUGGCCUAACCCUUUGGGAGGGAGCUGUCGAAGGUGGGAUCGGCGAUUGGGACGAAGUCGUAACAAGGUAGCCGUACCGGAAGGUGCGGCUGGAUCACCUCCUUUCUAAGGAGCACCACGAAAAGCACCCCAAUUGGUGGGGUGCAGGCCGUGAGGGGUUCUCGCCUGUAGUGGGCGGGGGCCGGGUGCGCAACAACAAAGCGAAAGCCAGACACACUAUUGGGUCCUGAGGCAGCACUCGGGUUGUUUCGAGUGGUGUCCCCCCAUCUUGGUGGUGGGGUGUGGUGUUUGAGAACUGGAUAGUGGUUGCGAGCAUCUAAAUGGAUGCACUGCCUUCGCGGUGGUGUGUCCAUUAAAUGUGUAAUUUUUCUUUGGUUUUUGUGUUUGUAAGUGCUUAAGGGCGCAUGGUGGAUGCCUUGGC
rnacentral:misc_RNA from 1 species